ACCGCUUCUCGGCCUUUUGGCUAAGAUCAAGUGUAGUAUCUGUUCUUAUCAGUUUAAAUCAGCCAGUGAUUACUAGCAGAAAGCUACAAGGCUAUCUGAAUUUGAAAACUGAUUUUUUUGAUCAUUUUUUUCCCAUUAUUAAAGUAACAGACAUGGAUCCCCA
rnacentral:snRNA from 1 species